AACCGACUUACUCGGUUUAUAACUAACUUAUAUCACACUUGCGGAGGUUUUCCAACAUAUUUUGUCAUUUUCAAAAAUUUUUAAUGAAAAAUUCUCGCGUUUUGUCUACAAAUUUAAUCUAAUCAUUUAUUCAAGGUCUAUAAGCUAGUUAUAAACCUCGGACGAUCAAAGAAAACCGACGCAAGUGUGAUAUAAUGACAGUUAUUGAAUUAUUACUUUCAGGUUUGAUGAUACAGAACGUUCUAUAUCAUUCUGUUUAGGACUUUACAUUGUGUAUAUUUACAUAUAAAAUAUAUAAUAUAUUUAACCCAAAUGCCUUGCCACGACUGAAUUUUUGUUCAUAAAUAUUCAUCAAUUCCACAAUACGGGCUACACAAUUUUAAAACAACAAACUACAUGAAAACAAUUGAACAUAAGCCUGGUUCACAUAAAAUCGUUAAGCAGUCGCAGACAUGUGCCGAAUUUUUAUAUGAACACAAAUGCAGAUUCGCGCAGACUGUCUAAGACCGGAUCGGCGACGGAUCGGGAAAGUUGAACUUGAUUCAACUUUCCCGAUCCAUCGCAGAUCGUUCAUACAAAAAUUAGGCACAUGUCUGCGACUGCUUAACGAUUUUAUGUGAACCAGGCUAUACACAGUACAGCAAACAGUACAGGCUGCACAGCACAACACGACCACAUACACACAACAAAAUUCCGCUCAAUUACUCGACGUAGAUACAGAAUCAUCGCAUCAUCAUAGCGUGAUAUUAAUAUGUCUGCAAUGACGCUAUUUGAUCUAACUGUUUAGGAAUAACAUGAACUUCAUCUGAGACGACAACCAACAAAUUCUCCUCAUAAACGUUUCCACGAACAAUCGCUUUUUGUUAACGAAAUGCACUCACUUGUCGAACAGUAUAAAUAGAAUACAGCAAACGUUUAUUGAUGAUUGCCGAUAAGGCCCGAUAAACCAAUCAGAUGUCUAGGGUCAAAAUCUGAUCCUAGGCAUCUGAUUGGUUCGGCGAAAUCAAUCAAUCAACACAUCGCGCCCAGGGGGUUUCCAAUUUGGCCAGCACCGCCUGAGUGCAGGCUUCAGCAAAACAGGAAACCCCCUGAUCCAGGGUACUUUAAACACUGCUUAACUGUGAAACUAUUGAAAUCUAAACUAAAGUGACAUUAUUCAACACACGCGAAAAGCUGAAAAUAGACGUUACACUGGGAAAAGUCAAAGGUCAAUGAGACUUGUUGUUGUGAAACUAGUCACAAUUAGGUUAAAAUGCGGAAGCGGAUGGAGCGGAUCCACGGAACGGAUAUGCGGAUAAAAUACGGAACGGAUGAGGAUAAAAUGCGUCCUUUUAAUGAUGUAACGACGUAGUGCUUUUUAUUCAUAACAUAUGUUAUUGUUAUCAAAUUUUUUUUUAUUAUCCGAGGAACAGGAUCGGUAAAACUAAUUUUCUGCGAUUAACAAAUUAUCAGCAAAUACAUAUGGCGACAAAAUUUGGCAGUUUCGACAAUUUCUUUGUUUUCACUUGAUAAUAUCUAGCGAAGGAUGCAUUUUUCGUUUUAUGCGCUGCAUUUUAACACAUGAAACCUUUGAAAUUUUUGAAUUUUAUCGCCGUAUUUGUCUAUAAAUCGGUAACCGUUACAGUAUUACAGAACAAAUUACAGGAAAUGUCAAUGCCAAUGGGAAGGUUCUUGUAUUUUGAAUUUUUUACUGUAAUAAGGUUCUCUUGCUCUCUUCUUCUUUCUUCAUUUGUUCCUCUGUUCUGUCUUGUAAAAUGCUACUAUAAUAAUAUACAUGAAAAAAUUUCUAUAUUUUGAUUGACUAAGAGCAGUGCAAUUUUUUUUUAAAUACAGUGCAAAAAAAUGAAAUACAGUGCAAAAAAUGAAAUACAGUGCAAAAAAAUGAAAUACAGUGCAAAAAAAUGAAAUACAGUGCAAAAAAAUGAAAUACAGUGCAAAAAAAUGAAAUACAGUGCAAAAAAAUGAAAUACAGUGCAAAAAAAUGAAAUACAGUGCAAAAAAAUGAAAUACAGUGCAAAAAAAUGAAAUACAGUGCAAAAAAAUGAAAUACAGUGCAAAAAAAUGAAAUACAGUGCAAAAAAAUGAAAUACAGUGCAAAAAAUGAAAUACAGUGCAAAAAAGCGAAAUACAGUGCAAAAAAUGAAAUACAGUGCCAAGUGAAAUUCAGUGCAAAAAAAAUGAAAUACAGUGCAAAAAAGUGAAAUACAGUGCAAAAAAAUGAAAUACAGUGCAAAAAAAUGAAAUACAGUGUAAAAAAGUGAAAUACAGUGCAAAAAAUGAAAUACAGUGCAAAAAAGCGAAAUACAGUGCAAAAAAUGAAAUACAGUGCCAAGUGAAAUUCAGUGCAAAAAAAAUGAAAUACAGUGCAAAAAAGUGAAAUACAGUGCAAAAAAAUGAAAUACAGUGCAAAAAAAUGAAAUACAGUGUAAAAAAGUGAAAUACAGUGCAAAAAAUGAAAUACAGUGCAAAAAAGCGAAAUACAGUGCAAAAAAUGAAAUACAGUGCCAAGUGAAAUUCAGUGCAAAAAAAAUGAAAUACAGUGCAAAAAAGUGAAAUACAGUGCAAAAAAAUGAAAUACAGUGCAAAAAGUGAAAAUAAUACAAAAACCCAAACAUUUACGAGUGACCGUGAAAUAUCAAAUAUGUCUGGCGUUUUUAGUAGAUUUUCUAAUAAAAUUGUUUAUAUUAAAAUUAUCGGUUUCGCAUGUGACCUACGCAUGGACAUGCACAUGACUGCAUGAUGCAGACGACUUUGAUAUACACAUGAAAAUCUCACAACUUGUAGCAAGUCUGCCAACAAGCCUGACACAAGUUGUGUUCGCACUGCUUGUCCCAAGUUGACAACACGUUUGGAACAAGCUGUUAACAACUUGUAACAACCUUGUUGAUAUUAUUAGGCUUGUUACAAGGUUGUUCCAACAAGUCCGAUACAAUUAUGAUAUAACAAUGUUGCUACAACCUUGUGUCGUCAACCUUGUAACAUUCUUGUUAUAUCAUGACUGUAUCAGACUUGUUAGAACAACUUUGCUACAAGUCUGAUAAUGCCAUCAAGCUUGUUACAAGUUGUUAACAGCUUGUUCCAAACUUGUUACAACAACUGGGAACAAGCAGUGCGAAGACAACUUGUCAACAGCUAGUGAACAGAUUUGUAACAACUUGUUUGCAGACUUGUAACCACUUGUGCGUUUUUCCGUGUGUACACGCACAAUUAGCUCAGAACUUGUCAACAAGAUGUGUUCGCAACAGGCUUGUAGCAAGCUUGUCAACAAGUUGUAACAAUGUUGUUAUUUCAUCAAGUUGCUACAAGGUUGUCACUCACAACUUGUUGACAAAUUGUUGAAUUGCAGGACGAUAACAAGUUGUUGGAACAACAACCAAUGGAUCAAAAUGCUGAACAGCCAAAGCAAAAUCAUACCCAUCUGGCUACAAAGUCAUAAUAAUAACUUGUCUGGAUAGUUUUAUCACUGCUCACAAAAUUAAUUAUUUCUAAUAAUUGAUAAUUGAUUAUUCUUUAAUAAAGAGGUUGAACUAUGAACUGUCUCACCAUCAAAUAAUUCUGCAAUUAGAGCGAAAAGAGACUAUAUAAUUAAAAUGUUGUAAAAUAAAGUUUUCACUAGAGACAAAACUAAGAAGUAAAGAAAGGAAAUGAGAAAAGCAGCUUAAGCCACCACACUAUUUAAAGGCUUGAAUGUAUCAUGCAACUACCUGAAAAAUAAUACUAUAGGUCUUUCACUUGAAAUGUUGAAGUUCAUUGAUUUCUUAGUUUCAGGUAGUUGCAUCAUACAGUGGUGCACAGAGAGAGGAAUGAAAUGAACAAACCCCCAAAUAAAUCCGCAUGCAUGGACUGGAAGUGACAAUAUUUAUUAUCUACCAAUUUAUUCUUGUUUCUGACUUGAUGUCUGACUAGCAUGUGUGACUUUCUCAGUUCUGGCCUGCAUAAUGAGAUCCAGUGCAACCCUAUAAAGACUAUAAUCUACAUACUUUGCUUAUACGUACACUUGUGACUGUUACCCAACAUUCAAGAAGUACAAUCCUAUUUCUAGUGGUUCAAGAAUCCUCAAUCCAACAUGUCAUUAGCCAGAAAGCUAGGUAGAAAUUAUAUUACCAGAUAAGUUGCCCACAGUAUCCCGAGCUUCUGGUACCCCUAGGCUAGCUUCUACUGGCACUCUAGAUUAUGCAUACUAUAAUAACCACAGACUCUAGUAUACAGCUAUUUCAAUUAUAAGGUUGUCCACGAACAAAGCGGAAAAGUCGAAUACGAGCGCGAAAGGCUGCUGGGAAUUGCUUACAAAUUAAUGAAUUUUCAAAGCGAUUCCCAUCAGCCUUUCGCGCUCGUAUUCGACUUUUCCGCUUUGCUCGUGAACAACCUUAAUUGAAAUAGCUG
rnacentral:lncRNA from 1 species